AUGCUUUUGUCUGCUUUGGAAUCCAGUGACCAAAAUUCUCUAGAAGAGCAUCCCCUAAAAGGUGACUCGUACUCAAGGAUAAAACUGAAGACACUAAGAGAAACGAUUCCAUCGAGGAGAAAGCGUCUCUCCAUGCCAUCAAACAGGCUGCCUGUCUCCCAUGUCUGGAAUGAUCCCCUUCCUUACCUCCUUUCCAGACCGGCAGGCUUUAACCAAUGAGAUCCCCACCAUCAAACUCCAGCACUUCCUUCAACGGAGAAAUGGUGAUGGUGUGAUGAUGAUGGUGGUGGUGAUGAUAGUGAUGAUGAUGACUCCAUUAAAGUUCUCCUAUUCCUCAUUGUUGUGGAGGUGACCUGGCUUC
rnacentral:lncRNA from 1 species